rnacentral:sRNA from 1 species
UUGAGUGCAUUAGAAACUGAUGUUUUCUAUCUACAGAACCAGCACAUCACAGGCAAUCAUAAUGUAAGCUCUCCCACUGAGGCCUGCCAGAAUGUCCUCAAAUCUUUUCUAGAUGGACCACCUUUUAAGAUGAGAAAACACAACAGUCUCUACGCCGAUUCAAUCCUUAGCCUUU